GACGAAUGCUGGCUGCGUGCUUAACACAUGCAAGUCGAACGGUGAAGGGGAGCUUGCUCCCCGGAUCAGUGGCGAACGGGUGAGUAACACGUGGGCAACCUGCCCCUCACCCUGGGAUAACCCCGGGAAACCGGGGCUAAUACCGGAUACGACCUGGUGCGACACCGCACCGGGUGGAAAGAACUUCGGUGAGGGAGGGGCCCGCGGCCUAUCAGCUUGUUGGGGGGGUAACGGCCCACCAAGGCGACGACGGGUAGCCGGCCUGAGAGGGCGACCGGCCACACUGGGACUGAGACACGGCCCAGACUCCUACGGGAGGCAGCAGUGGGGAAUAUUGCGCAAUGGGCGAAAGCCUGACGCAGCGACGCAGCGUGAGGGACGAAGGCCUUCGGGUUGUAAACCUCUUUCAGCGGGGACGAAGCGCAAGUGACGGUACCCGCAGAAGGAGCACCGGCUAACUACGUGCCAGCAGCCGCGGUAAAAC
rnacentral:rRNA from 1 species